UGGGGAAUUUUGCGCAAUGGGCGAAAGCCUGACGCAGCAACGCCGCGUGAGUGAUGAAGGCUUUCGGGUCGUAAAGCUCUGUCAAGGGGAAAGAAGUGUAUUGUGGCUAAUAUCCACGAUACUUGACGGUACCCCUAAAGGAAGCACCGGCUAACUCCGUGCCAGCAGCCGCGGUAAUACGGGGGGUGCAAGCGUUGUUCGGAAUUAUUGGGCGUAAAGCGCGUGUAGGCGGUUUGUUAAGUCUGAUGUGAAAGCCCUGGGCUCAACCCAGGAAGUGCAUUGGAUACUGGCAGACUUGAAUACGGGAGAGGGUAGUGGAAUUCCUGGUGUAGGAGUGAAAUCCGUAGAUAUCAGGAGGAACACCGGUGGCGAAGGCGGCUGCCUGGACCGAUAUUGACGCUGAGACGCGAAAGCGUGGGUAGCAAACA
rnacentral:rRNA from 1 species